GGAGCUAUAGCUCAGUGGCAGAGUGCUUCCCUAGCAUGUAUGAGGCACUGGGUUCAAUCUUUAGCACCA
rnacentral:tRNA from 1 species